rnacentral:rRNA from 1 species
AGUGAACGCUGGCGGUAGGCCUAACACAUGCGAGUCGAACGGCAGCACAGUAAGAGCUUGCUCUUACGGGUGGCGAGUGGCGGACGGGUGAGGAAUACAUCGGAAUCUACUUUUUCGUGGGGGAUAACGUAGGGAAACUUACGCUAAUACCGCAUACGACCUACGGGUGAAAGCAGGGGAUCUUCGGACCUUGCGCGAUUGAAUGAGCCGAUGCCGGAUUAGCUAGUUGGCGGGGUAAAGGCCCACCAAGGCGACGAUCCGUAGCUGGUCUGAGAGGAUGAUCAGCCACACUGGAACUGAGACACGGUCCAGACUCCUACGGGAGGCAGCAGUGGGGAAUAUUGGACAAUGGGCGCAAGCCUGAUCCAGCCAUACCGCGUGGGUGAAGAAGGCCUUCGGGUUGUAAAGCCCUUUUGUUGGGAAAGAAAAGCAGCAGGUUAAUACCCCGCUGUUCUGACGGUACCCAAAGAAUAAGCACCGGCUAACUUCGUG